AUUCCAGCUCCAAUAGCGUAUAUUAAAGUUGUUGCAGUUAAAAAGCUCGUAGUUGGAUUUCUGUUCUCGAGGAUCGGUCCGCCUCACGGUGAGCACUGGUUUUUCUUGGGGACAUCCUCUCGAAGGCGGGUGGUGCACUUAAUUGUGUGCUGCUUGGAUUCGGGACCUUUACUUUGAAAAAAUUAGAGUGUUCAAAGCAGGCGUCGGCUUGAAUACAUUAGCAUGGAAUAAUGGAAUAGGACUUUGGUACUAUUUUGUUGGUUUGCGCACCGAGGUAAUGAUUAAUAGGGACAGUUGGGGGUAUUCGUAUUCCAUAGUCAGAGGUGAAAUUCUUGGAUUUAUGGAAGACAAACUAAUGCGAAAGCAUCUACCAAGGAUGUUUUCAUUA
rnacentral:rRNA from 1 species